UACGAAGGGGGCUAGCGUUGCUCGGAAUCACUGGGCGUAAAGCGCACGUAGGCGGCUUCUUAAGUCAGGGGUGAAAUCCUGGAGCUCAACUCCAGAACUGCCUUUGAUACUGAGGAUCUUGAGUUCGGGAGAGGUGAGUGGAACUGCGAGUGUAGAGGUGAAAUGCGUAGAUAUCAGGAGGAAGACCAGUGGCGAAGGCGGGUCUCUGGACAGUUCCUGACGCUGAAGCGCGAAGGCCAGGGGAGCAAACGGG
rnacentral:rRNA from 1 species